GACGAACGCUGGCGGCGUGCUUAACACAUGCGAGUCGAACGGAAAGGCCCUGCUUGCCGGGUACUCGAGUGGCGAACGGGCGAGUAACACGUGGGUGAUCUGCCCUGCACUUCGGGAUAAGCCUGGGAAACUGGGUCUAAUACCGGAUAGGAGCCAUUUUUAGUGUGAUGGUUGGAAAGUUUUUUCGGUGUAGGAUGAGCUCGCGGCCUAUCAGCUUGUUGGUGGGGUAAUGGCCUACCAAGGCGGCGACGGGUAGCCGGCCUGAGAGGGUGGACGGCCACAUUGGGACUGAGAUACGGCCCAGACUCCUACGGGAGGCAGCAGUGGGGAAUAUUGCACAAUGGGCGCAAGCCUGAUGCAGCGACGCCGCGUGGGGGAUGACGGCCUUCGGGUUGUAAACUCCUUUCGCUAGGGACGAAGCUUUUUGUGACGGUACCUAGAUAAGAAGCACCGGCUAACUACGUG
rnacentral:rRNA from 1 species